rnacentral:rRNA from 1 species
CCGACCUCAGAUCAGGCGAGACCACCCGCUGAGUUUAAGCAUAUCACUAAGCGGAGGAAAAGAAACUAACAAGGAUUCCCUUAGUARCGGCGAGCGAACCRGGCAGACCCA